rnacentral:misc_RNA from 1 species
GAAAUGCGAUAAUUAAUGUGAAUUGCAGAAUUCAGUGAAUCAUCGAGUCUUUGAACGCACAUUGCGCCCCCUGGUAUUCCGGGGGGCAUGCCUGUCCGAGCGUCAUUGCUGCCCUCAAGCACGGCUUGUGUGUUGGGCUUCCGUCCCUGGCAACGGGGACGGGCCCAAAAGGCAGUGGCGGCACCAUGUCUGGUCCUCGAGCGUAUGGGGCUUUGUCACCCGCUCCCGUAGGUCCAGCUGGCAGCUAGCAUCGCAACCAAUCUUUUUAACCAGGUUGACCUCGGAUCAGGUAGGGAUACCCACUGAACUUAAGC